AUUGAACGCUGGCGGCAUGCUUUACACAUGCAAGUCGAACGGUAACAGGCCGCAAGGUGCUGACGAGUGGCGAACGGGUGAGUAAUGCAUCGGAACGUGCCCAGUCGUGGGGGAUAACGCAGCGAAAGCUGCGCUAAUACCGCAUACGAUCUAUGGAUGAAAGCGGGGGACCGUAAGGCCUCGCGCGAUUGGAGCGGCCGAUGUCAGAUUAGGUAGUUGGUGGGGUAAAGGCUCACCAAGCCAACGAUCUGUAGCUGGUCUGAGAGGACGACCAGCCACACUGGGACUGAGACCGGGCCCAGACUCCUACGGGAGUCAGCAGUGGAGAAUUUUGGACAAUGGGCGCAAGCCUGAUCCAGCAAUGCCGCGUGCAGGAAGAAGGCCUUCUGGUUGUAAACUGCUUUUGUACGGAACGAAACGGUCCUGGUUAAUACCUGGGGCUAACGACAGUACCGUAAGAAUAAGCACCGGCUAACUACGUGCCAGCCGCCGCAGUAACAC
rnacentral:rRNA from 1 species